rnacentral:rRNA from 1 species
GACGAACCGUGCGAACGUUAUUCGGAAUCACUGGGCUUAAAGCGCGUGUAGGCGGGCGGGAACGUCGGCCACUGAAAGCCCCCGGCUCAACCGGGGAAGGGGUGCCGAAACGGCCCGCCUGGAGGGGCGUAGGGGGACCUGGAACUUCCGGUGGAGCGGUGAAAUGCGUUGAGAUCGGAAGGAACGCCCGUGGCGAAAGCGAGGUCCUGGACGCCAUCUGACGCUGAGACGCGAAAGCCAGGGGAGCGAACGGG